rnacentral:rRNA from 1 species
UACGGAGGGUGCUAGCGUUGUUCGGAAUUACUGGGCGUAAAGGGCGCGUAGGCGGCCGUUUGCGUCGGAUGUGAAAGCCCGGGGCUCAACCUCGGAACGGCAUUCGAUACGGGACGGCUGGAGACCGGGAGAGGAGAGUGGAAUAGCCAGUGUAGAGGUGAAAUUCGUAGAUAUUCGCAAGAACACCAGUGGCGAAGGCGGCUCACUGGCCCGAUACUGACGCUGAGGUGCGAAAGCGUGGGGAGCAAACAGG